AUGCCGCGAGCAUCACUUGGAGAAGGGAAGGGAAAGUUCACUUCCUACUUUUUAAAGGCUGCCAGCAAGAGGAGUAACAAAGCCACAAGUCAGAAGCACUCUGCAGUGGGAGAAGUGGGAGAAACUAAGCUACAUCCUGCAAGACUGAAGAUGGAGAGGAGGAAGCUUGCGCCUUCUCACUGAACUUAAGCUUCCCUGCCAUGGGGGAACUGGUGGAAAAAGUCCAAAAGAGUCCUCCAGGUGUGAAGUCUGAUGUCAGUCAGCUUCAGAGAAAUGACACCAGCUGAGGAUCUGCAAGCAAGUCUCAGGUCUGUACCAAUCUCAUAGAUCAGCACUUUUCUCUGUAGAGUCACUUUUUCCUUGCAUGGAAUCAUGAUUUGCAACUCAGCCUCUGCCUGUGAGAUACCAUCAUGAAACCACAUUGCUCAGAGAAGGCAGAACCUUUCUAUGUUAUUAGAAAUGUUAACCAACAUGUGAGUUUCUGGUGGUCAUGCAGACCAUUUGUUGUUUUCAGAGCACUCUCAGAACAUCAGUCCUUGUGGCACCAUGUGUAAUGCAUGUCAGGGCUAUUGUUAAACCCCGCUGCCAGCUGAGGGAGGGAGGAAAGGAGAUAAAAAACCACAGCUUGAGUUAUUGAAAUAUUGGAGACAGGACUGGAACUCGGCAUUUCCUGGGCAGAUUACCACCCUUCACUUCUCCCUGAGCUGGUAUAAUUAGCAGUGUCCUGGAUCUCUCUUAUUCCCAUGCAAGCACACAUCUGAAUGCAUUUUUCUUUGAAAUUGUCUGUCUUGGGGUCAUUUGUGUUGUGCACUUCAGGCUGUUGAUGAUCUGUUGUCUGCAGUGAAAUACUCACUGGUAGACUGUAAAUCACGAAGAGAUGCAAAGGCAUCCAUUUG
rnacentral:lncRNA from 1 species